rnacentral:lncRNA from 1 species
AGAUCUGCCUGAGGCCAGAUCACAUUUACGGAGAACAGGCGUCUCGUUGGUCACGUGAUGACGUUGACUCACGUUCACCUCUGGUGUCAGGGCCAAUCAGGGGUCAGCGAGCGCAGACAAUAUCUGGUCUCCCCUCAGACUCAACCGUGUCUCUGCAUCAGCAGAAAAACUCAAGAUGUUUGCUGGAGAAGCGCUAGAGUGCUGGACACCGAACCAGCAGUCAGCAGAAAAACAAGGGCCAGCGGCCAACCAGACAGACGGAGGGUUAGAGAGGUCCAAAGAGCCAACGCUUCACUGAAACUCACACACAGAAGAGCGUUUGUGAUCGUUCAUUCCAGUCUGAAGACACAUCCGUUCAUUCUGGUAAGUGUUGUCAGAAGGUGUCUGAACUAGAUUUAUGGACAAUAAAAAGCAUCACUCUGAAACUUAAUGUCAUAAAGCAAACCGCCAGUGAAUUUAACAAGACAAACAGGCCGAGGAUUGCAUUAUUAUAGUACUAAAGGCAAGAACUUCUUAUCAUGAAACAUACAGUGUGAUACUGAAUUUGUGUAGCUGUAGCUCAACACAUUUGUGUACUUCUUUGUCAGUUCAGGGAGUCCCAAUAUAUCAGUGGGAAUGAGGGGUCACGACCUUCAUGACGUCAUGGCUCAUCUAGAGGGUGAGAUAAUGAGUGAUGUUGAAGAACUGAUAACGAGAGAGAGACGAUGAAGCUCCUCAAAACCAGAUGGUAAACACACUCACAUACUGUACACAUCCCGCUGCUGAACUACAUCAUGCACAUGUUUUUAUCAGUCCGCUGUCAUGGAAGAAUCUUCCAUACUUUAGAUACACUUUUUUUCUAGUUCUUUGGAAAUCAUCUAUGAUCUGGUGGUGACCUGAAGAACAAAGGACAUUAUUCAUUUCCAAACAUCCAUAUCAGAGCCAAAAAUCAUUCUUGAUAUGAAGAAGGCUCUCUCAAACCUAAAGAACAAUAGACGUAGCGUUAUUUUAGGAGUGUUUGUGAUGUUUUUUUUUCCAUACUGUGCUUACAAGACCAACGAAUGAAGGCAUUUCAUAACAUGUUUAGACACAGAUCGGCUCUCUGUGAAGCAGUUUACAUGAGCAACACCUCUGCCCAGAGCAACACGCACACAAUAAUGUCCUGCUUUCAUCUGUCUGUUCCUGUUCGGAUAGUUUUUGGUGUCAGUUUAAUAUUUAGGGUUGCUAUAAAUUAUUCACUGGUUGUUUAAGUCGUGAAAAAUGAAACACUGUGACAUUGUUGCAGUGCUGACAAUUGCUUUAAUGAAAAGUAGCUAAAACCUGCUUGAAAAGUCACUAGAUAAUGUCAUGUGCUAAUUAGCAUAUUCAUGACACCAUCAUGUUGAAUCAACCCUUUGCAUUCAUAAUCCUUUUAUGCAGCCUAUAUUUUUACAGCUUAAGUCCCAAUAAAACUGUUCUCAUUUACAUUUUUUUUUUAUAUAUAUAUUUUUGUAGUCAGACAGCAUGAUCCUAAGGGGCUGUUCACACAGAACAUGUCCCUGCGUCUAAAAACAAUGACAUAGAAAACAUGGAAAAACUAGCUCAUUGGAAUGGAAAAACACAUUCGGUGUGAAUGUAUUCGGUUUAGUGACUAAAAUUCCGAAAUUGGCACCACAACAUUAAUCUGUUUGUUUGAGUGACAACUUCUGAAUUAACCAAUGGAGUGAUUGGGGUCGGGGCGUAGUCUAGUGGAAGUCAGACAUGAGCUGGAGGAGUAGUUUGGGUAAAACCUAGUUUGUAAACUAAUUAUUAUUUUUUCUAUAUUUUUCUUGUGUUUUUGUCUACUGAUAAAUUAGUCAGACAUUUAAAGGAAUAUUCCAUGUCACAUGGGUUUUUGAGUCAUAAUUAGUGCCAAUAGCAUCCAUGGAUACACACUUUAAGGAUCGUUUUCAAUGUACUAUGAUCUGAGACACUAUACUUGUAAACUUUCAUACUAUUUACACCAUAUAGUAUGUGAACCGGAAACCAAAAUCAAUCCAUGAGCUGGUUCAAAAGUGUCUCAAAUCAUAUUCCUUUAAAUGUCUGACUGCUUUAUCUGUAGAGCAGAUGCUGCUGAGCACCUUUUUAACUUGACUUUUACUAU